AAAGAUUAAGCCAUGCAUGUCUAAGUAUAAGCAAUUAUACCGCGAAACUGCGAAUGGCACAUUAUAUAAGUUAUCGUUUAUUUGAUAGCACAUUUACCUACUUGGAUAAACGUGGUAAUUCUAGAGCUAAUACAUGCUAAAAAUCCCGACUUCGGAAGGGAUGUAUUUAUUAGAUUAAAAGCCAACGCCCUUCGGGGCUUCUUGGUGAUUCAUGAUAACUGGUCGAAUCGCAUGGCCUUGCGCCGGCGAUGGUUCAUUCAAAUUUCUUCCCUAUCAACUUUCGAUGCGAAGGUCUUGUCUUCGCAUGGUUG
rnacentral:rRNA from 1 species